rnacentral:lncRNA from 1 species
UCUCCCCAGCUACUUGGUCGAGUGGUACAGCAUCAGAAACCUCUUUCACGUCUUCUUCCGUCAGCUUCAACCCCAAGGAACCAAUGUUUGUAUCCAGGUUCUUAAUCUUUGUUGUCCCUGCAGUGGAAGUUCAAAAACAAAUGAACAAUGAGUUGAUUGAGUGUGUAUUUCUCUUCGCCCAAUUCAAGUGCGUGUAGAAUCUCCUCAGGAACAUUAGUAACUGCAAAAUAUAUGAACAAACCUGGAGCUAACGGCUUUUUAGUUAUGAGUUCUAACUCACAAUGUAGCGUACUUCGAGCUCAAGUAAAAUGAAUUAAUGAAAUGAAAGCUGUUUUUCUGUUUCUAUAAACCAUUAUAAGAACACGCACAAGGCACAACCCAUUGGCAUGGAAACAUUGAGCUGCAGAUGCGAUUUACCAGAUUUCGCAUCAAUUAAAUUUGAAGAGAAUAAAAAUGUUACAAGGACUCACCCGGGAUAGGUACGACAUCAAUUCCUUGGUGGAGAACCCAUGCUAGUGCUAGUUGAGGAGUAGAGCACUGGUGCUUUUUAGCAAUGGUAUCUAUUCGAUGGUAAAUGUUCUUGUUCUUGUCUAAGUUCUCUCCUGUGAACCGCGGCUGUGAGGCCUUCAAAACGGAGGAAAACAAGGUUUCAAUAGGCACAUAUUUAAGAACAACAUGAUUAGAAUCAACAAUUACUUCUACAAUAGCUGGAGCAGAAGAAAUUACCACAAAACUAUUUGCAGGCAAACUUUCAACAACUGCUUUGCCACCGAAAAAACCACGACCAAGUGGACUAUAUGGAACUAUUCCGAUGCCAAGCUCCCUAUAUGUGAUAACAUUGGACAAAAUAAUUCACACAACUAGAGUUAUUAUCGUAACCCCAAUCAACUUUUACAACUACAAUGGAUUUAUACGUACGAGAUCAUCUUCAAAAGCACUCCCUUUUUUCCCCUUACAGAAACAGAAUUAUGGAAGCAAUUCAUAGUAACACUUGUGCUUAGCUCAGAUUGGAACAUACCUGCAAAGAGGAACAAUCUCUUCCUCAAUAUCACGAGUCCAGAGGGACCACUCCAUUUGCAGAGCCGUGAUCGGAUGAACUGCAUGCGCCCUCCUUACUGUGUCCGGGCUGGCUUCAGAUAACCCAAUAUACUUUAUUUUUCCUUCUUCCACCAGUUUCUUCAGCUCACCCAUCUAAACUCCACGAAAAACAAGCAUACCUAAUCAAUUUUUCCAGCCAGGUACCCACUAUUUCUAGAUGUGGAUAUAUAAAGUGUAGAACUUAACAUGUUCAAUAUUCUACACUGUUUCUAAAUGAAGAGACUGACAUACAGUUUCCUCUAUAGGCACCGAAGUGUCCACCCGGUGGUAAUAAUACAGAUCAAUGUAGUCCACGUCAAGACGUUUCAAGCUAGACUCGCAGGAUGAGCGGACAUACUCAGGAGUUCCCUUCGCUGAAAUAAUAAGAGGAUUCCCUUGUCCAACAAGACCAAACUUUGAUGCCAACUGAACUUUUUCCCUUGGCAACUGCUUCAAGGCCUAAAUGGCAUAAAAUUUUCAAUUAAAGUUACAGAAUAACAAUGAAAAGACACGCAUAUAAAAAGCAAGGAUAGAUACAUUCUGCUAGUCGUCUACGACUUCACAAAGUUUAUCUAUCAUGCAUCAAACAAUGCAAAUAUUUUACUUCUAGUUAGUCUAAAGAAGUAGCUCGAUAAAUUCACAAGCGGAAACACAUACCUUCCCAACAAGAACUUCGUUCGUAUGAGGUCCGUACACAUCAGCUGUGUCAAAGAAAGUGAUUCCUUUGCUGAAGGCAUGUUUAUUAUAGCGAUACCAUCCUCAUCAGCGACAGGAGAGUUGUAACCCCCGGUAAGGCCCAUGCAUCCGAACCCCAAUUUUGAGACCUGCAAAAUUUGAAAGAAUCAGGAAAAGUUGAGUACGUUUACAACUACUGUAAGUAAGCAUCUAAAUCAACCUCUGGAACAAAGGUUAACCUCAAAACCAAAAGAAUUUAAAGCUCAGUUAAUGUUCUUUUUGUCUGUCCUUUGAGAAAGUGAGCCCAAAAAGCCUUGAAAGAAUAAUAUGGAUUACUAAGUUAGAGCAAAUCUGAUCAGUUCCAUUGCAGGAUCAAACAUAUUCACUGAACAAAAUUCUGUCUGAAGAGAGAAAGACAGAGUUUGAAUGGACUCUGGCCGCGUUUGGUGAUUAGGAUUGGAUUGGAUUACUUAUAAAAUUGAAGGUCUGCUGAAGGUGGAGGCGAAUGAUUUUUCAUUCCGAGAGAACUAGAAGGGAUUAGACACGAAGGAAUCUUAUCCCUCCUAAUCCUACCAAUUUCUAAGGAUUGGAGUGGAAAAGCUUCGUUAACAACUAAUCCAUCUUCUACCUUUAAAGUUUUUCGAAAAGAAUUUCUUCAUUUCUUCCUUCAACAUACCUCGAAUACAACGAGUAAUCUCGAAGACAACGAGUUAUGUAAUUCAAUCCAAGGCACCGAACGAGCACGUCUAGGAAACUAAAAAUGGAAUCAUUGUUACCUCAAAUCCCCAGUAUCGAAGUUUAACUCUUGGACUCAAUAUUCCCAUCCCCUCCUCAUCCAUACUAUCUUCUUCUUCUCUAAGAUUAAUUUACCACUCACACCAUUGACCAUCUUAAUAAACAUUUCCCAAAACCAGGAAAAACUAUAGGAUUUGACCCAGCACCAACAAGGUCAUCAUCAACUUCACUAAAUUUUGCAUUUUUACCACCAAAUUUGGUCUGUUUGCAGCAAAGAAGUUGACUUUUUUUCUGGAUUUAUGCAAGUGGGGUUAUUAGGAAAUCUGAUAUGAACACAAACAACAAUCUGCACUUCUCCAAAGAAAGAAGAAAGAAUGAAAGUUGGGGUAUUGAAAUUUGAAAGCUUGAAUGUGAGAUUUUACCUCAAGUCCUUGGCUUCCCAGUUUAACUCUUGGAACUUGGACUUGCUUCUCUUCUGCCAUCCUUCCAAACUUUUGGCCUCUCUCUCUCUGACUCCCUCUCUCCCUAGAUUUUAAAGGUCCCUCCCACUCUCAGAGUUGUUGGAUCAGCUGGAGCCUGAAGGGUAGGUGGACUGUCUGUACUCGAUUAAUAUUUUUAAAGGGUUUUAAUAAGGAAUCUAUCGAGUUUGACGGAGAAUCCAUGGCUUUUUAAAGGAGAUGAUUGUCUGCCGUCCCAUACCCUCAUGUUUUGUGGGAUCACGAUUAAGUUACGUUAACAUUUAUUUUUUAUCUUAUUAUUUUUAUAAAAAAAAUUAAUAUAAAAUGUUGAUGUAGCUUAACUGUGACUGCACAAAACAGGAGGGCAUGGGGAGGGUAUGGGAAGGGAAGGGCAGACAAUCCAUCUUCCUUUUUAAAACCGUUUAAAACUUGAAUUGAAUUAGAAGAGUAAAUUGUAGCAAUGGUCCCUCAACUUUAAUCAAAUUGGAGCAAUGGUCCCUCAACUAAAAAUUCAUUACCAUUGGUCCCUCAACUUAUCAAAAUGUGUAGCUAUAGUCAUUUUCAUCAAUUUCGUCAAAAUUUUGGUCCCUCAACUUAUCAAAAUGUGUAGCUAUAGUCAUUUUCAUCAAUUUCGUCAAAAUUUUGUCAAAAUAAGUUAUGUUGGAAUUACCAUUUAUAUAAUUAGGGUCCAUCAACUCAUCAAAGUGUGUAAUCAUGGUCCUUUUCGUCAACUACGUCAAAACUUUUAUCAAAACGAGUUAUGUUGGAAUGACCAUUGCUACAAUUGGGUUAAAGUUAAGGGACAAUUUCUCUAGUUGAAUUAAAGUUGAGGGACCAAUGGUAAUAGAUUUUUAGUUGAGGGACCAUAGCUACACGUUUUGAUGAGUUGAGGAACCAAUGGUAAUGAAUUUUUAGUUGAAGGACCAUUGCUCAAAUUGAGUUAAAGUUAAGGAACCAUAGCUACAAUUUACUCGAAUUAGAAAUGAGUCCAAAAAUCUAAGUGUAUUCAAUAAAGUUGAGAUAUAACGUGAAAAAUGCACUAUUUUAUUUUGUUCAUCCAUCUUUUUUCUUGUUUUGUUCAUCCAUUUUCUCUUUUUCGGUUCGUCAUUUAAUUUUAUAAGGGAAUAAUAUUAUUUUGUUUGUCAAUUAAUUUUAUAAAGAAAUAAAUUCUCUAUCAAAUUCUUUAUAUUAUCCAUUAAAAGUCCUUUCAAAUCCAAAUUGGAUGUGCUGAAACUGAAAAAGAAAUGGCCUUUAAUUUUAUAAAGGAAUCGAUUCUCUACCAACUUCUUUACAUUAUCCAUUAAAAAUUCUUUCAAAUCCGAAUGGAGUGUACUAAAACUGAAAAGGAAAUGAUCUUUUAAUGCAAAAAGGAAAUGCACCAGCCGGGAAUCGAACCCGGGUCUGUACCGUGGCAGGGUACUAUUCUACCACUAGACCACUGGUGCUAACAUGUCAUAUUCAGCUCCCACCCACAUAUUAAUAAAACAUAAGAGCGUUUGUCCAACAUUGGCCAUAACAAUCAAAUGAUCAAAUAUGAGAUAAUCACAUGCAAAUUGAAGAAAAUGGUAAAUUGUACAAUGUCUUUUUUACUCUGUUACAUGAGGAAAAUUCAAGGGCAUUUUUUUCUAUCCAAACUUUUUUUAUGUUUCAAAUCACUCAAUUUUCACAACUUGUAUUUGCAACGCACACUUACGAAUAUGAGGUGACCGACCUUAAGGGUCCGACUCCUCUCAAGACCGGUCUUAUUACCACAUAUUGAAUUCGGGACAAUAUGGUACUUCAAUGCUUAAUUUGCUAAACUCAAGCCCACAAAGCAUGAAUUACAACUACUAUAAAAAAUCUUUCCAAAGUCUAAGGAAAUUGAACGAAGAGAUGUUAAGAAAUGAGAACAGAUAAAGUAUAGAACACGAGUUUCAACUUUCAUUUGUUAUUAACACGAUAAAAACUUCAUCCUGCGCUUUUCUCCUCUCUUUUUUUUUUCACACAAGAGAGGAGUGCACGAUGACUUUCUAGGUAAUGUAAAUAGCAGCUUCCGUUCACAAAAUACAAUGUCGUUCAAUUCCGACCAUCAGAUGGAAACGUUUCCAUGUCCUAAAGCUCAGAUCUUGGAGUCUUUCGGAGGAGGAGUGUUGGCGAGCUUCCAUUGCAGCCCCAUCAGGAGUGCAUGAUCUCUAUCACCAGCUACUUGGUCGAUCGGUACAGCAUCACAAAUUUCGUUCAGGUCCUCUUCCUUCAGGCACACCUUCAAGGAGUCAAUGUUUGAAUCCAGGUUCUUAAUCUUUGUUGUCCCUGCAGUCGAAAUUCAAAAACAAAUAAACAAUGUGUCGAUGACGAGUUCUAAAUCACAAUGUCAUAUACUUGGAGCUCAAGCAAGAUGAACCGGAAGCCGGUUUUCUAUUCUAUCUAAGACAACCAUUAUAAGAACAAGCACAAACUCACUGGCAUGGAAACAACGAGCUGCAGAUGCAACGUAGCAGGUUUCACAUCAAAUGAACUUGAUGAGAACAAAAAUGUAAUGAGG